CAAAGCAAAGCUGAGUUAGUAUAGCGUCUCACUUACGUUGAGAAGAAUUAUUGUGCAAGUCAAUAUGCUUUGA
rnacentral:tRNA from 1 species